rnacentral:rRNA from 1 species
GACGAACGCUGGCGGCGUGCCUAAUACAUGCAAGUAGAACGCACAGUUUAUACCGUAGCUUGCUACACCAUAAACUGUGAGUUGCGAACGGGUGAGUAACGCGUAGGUAACCUGCCUGGUAGCGGGGGAUAACUAUUGGAAACGAUAGCUAAUACCGCAUAAUAUUGAUUAUUGCAUGAUAAUUGAUUGAAAGAUGCUAUUGCAUCACUACCAGAUGGACCUGCGUUGUAUUAGCUAGUAGGUGAGGUAACGGCUCACCUAGGCGACGAUACAUAGCCGACCUGAGAGGGUGAUCGGCCACACUGGGACUGAGACACGGCCCAGACUCCUACGGGAGGCAGCAGUAGGGAAUCUUCGGCAAUGGACGAAAGUCUGACCGAGCAACGCCGCGUGAGUGAAGAAGGGUUUCGGGUCGUAAAGCUCUGUUGUAAGAGAAGAACGGGGGUGAGAGUGGAAAGUUCACACUGUGACGGUAUCUUACCAGAAAGGGACGGCUAACUACGUG